UACGUAGGGCGCAAGCGUUAUCCGGAAUUAUUGGGCGUAAAGAGCUCGUAGGUGGUUUGUCGCGUCUGCCGUGAAAGUCCGGGGCUCAACUCCGGAUCUGCGGUGGGUACGGGCAGACUAGAGUGAUGUAGGGGAGACUGGAAUUCCUGGUGAAGCGGUGAAAUGCGCAGAUAUCAGGAGGAACACCGAUGGCGAAGGCAGGUCUCUGGGCAUUAACUGACGCUGAGGAGCGAAAGCAUGGGGAGCGAACAGG
rnacentral:rRNA from 1 species